rnacentral:rRNA from 1 species
AGAUUGAACGCUGGCGGCAGGCCUAACACAUGCAAGUCGAGCGGCAGCGGAAAGUAGCUUGCUACUUUGCCGGCGAGCGGCGGACGGGUGAGUAAUGUCUGGGAAACUGCCUGAUGGAGGGGGAUAACUACUGGAAACGGUAGCUAAUACCGCAUGACCUCGAAAGAGCAAAGUGGGGGAUCUUCGGACCUCACGCCAUCGGAUGUGCCCAGAUGGGAUUAGCUAGUAGGUGAGGUAAUGGCUCACCUAGGCGACGAUCCCUAGCUGGUCUGAGAGGAUGACCAGCCACACUGGAACUGAGACACGGUCCAGACUCCUACGGGAGGCAGCAGUGGGGAAUAUUGCACAAUGGGCGCAAGCCUGAUGCAGCCAUGCCGCGUGUGUGAAGAAGGCCUUAGGGUUGUAAAGCACUUUCAGCGAGGAGGAAGGCACCAUACUUAAUACGUGUGGUGAUUGACGUUACUCGCAGAAGAAGCACCGGCUAACUCCGUGCCAACAGCCGCGGUAAUACGGAGGGUGCAAGCGUUAAUCGGAAUUACUGGGCGUAAAGCGCACGCAGGCGGUUUGUUAAGUCAGAUGUGAAAUCCCCGCGCUUAACGUGGGAACUGCAUUUGAAACUGGCAAGCUAGAGUCUUGUAGAGGGGGGUAGAAUUCCAGGU